rnacentral:rRNA from 1 species
GACGAACGCUGGCGGCGUGCCUAAUACAUGCAAGUCGAACGGUUUAGUUCCAAGAGGCAAGACUCUUGGAACUAAGCAGUGGCGGACGGGUGAGUAACACGUAGGCAACCUACCUGUCAAACCGGGAUAACCUCGGGAAACCGAAGCUAAACCCGGAUAAGCUCCUUUUUCGCAUGAAGGGGGAGUGAAAAGGUGCGACCUGAUGGCAGAUGGGCCUGCGGCGCAUUAGCUAGUAGGUAGGGUAACGGCCUACCUAGGCGAUGAUGCGUAGCCGACCUGAGAGGGCGUACGGCCACACUGGGACUGAGAUACGGCCCAGACUCCUACGGGAGGCAGCAGUAGGGAAUCUUCGGCAAUGGGCGAAAGCCUGACCGAGCAACGCCGCGUGAGUGAGGAAGGCCUUCGGGUUGUAAAACUCUGUUGUUUGGGAAGAAGGGAAAGGGUAGGACCCUUAGGUGACGGUACCAAACGAGAAAGCCCCGGCUAACUACGUG